CAGUAGCCGCGGUAAUACGUAGGGUGCAAGCGUUAAUCGGAAUUACUGGGCGUAAAGCGUGCGCAGGCGGUUUUGUAAGACAGAGGUGAAAUCCCCGGGCUCAACCUGGGAACUGCCUUUGUGACUGCAAGGCUAGAGUACGGCAGAGGGGGAUGGAAUUCCGCGUGUAGCAGUGAAAUGCGUAGAUAUGCGGAGGAACACCGAUGGCGAAGGCAAUCCCCUGGGCCUGUACUGACGCUCAUGCACGAAAGCGUGGGGAGCAAACAGGAUUAGAUACCCGUGUAGUCCCUGUCUCUUAUAC
rnacentral:rRNA from 1 species